rnacentral:rRNA from 1 species
ACUCCUACGGGAGGCAGCAGUGGGGAAUAUUGCACAAUGGGCGAAAGCCUGAUGCAGCCAUGCCGCGUGUGUGAAGAAGGCCUUCGGGUUGUAAAGCACUUUCAGCGAGGAGGAAAGGUUAGGUACGGUUAAUACCGUCAGCUGUGACGUUACUCGCAGAAGAAGCACCGGCUAACUCCGUGCCAGCAGCCGCGGUAAUACGGAGGGUGCGAGCGUUAAUCGGAAUUACGUGGCGUAAAGCGCAUGCAGGCGGCCAAGUCAGUCAGAUGUGAAAGCCCCGGGUCUUAACCUGGGAAUUGCAUUUGAAACUGCUUGGCUAGAGUCCUUGAGAGGGGGUUAGAA